rnacentral:tRNA from 1 species
GGGGAUGUAGCUCAGUGGUAGAGCGCACGCUUCGCAUGUGUGAGGCCC